UAGGUUUGCCACCUGUCCAGUUUUGACCCGGACAGUCUAGUUUUUAAAGGGGCUGUCUGGGUCAAAACUGGACAGGUGGCAAACCUAUGUUAAC
rnacentral:pre_miRNA from 1 species